AUGAACGCUAGCGGCAGGCUUAACACAUGCAAGUCGAGGGGUAAGGUAGCAAUAUCUGAGACCGGCGCACGGGUGCGUAACGCGUAUGCAAUCUACCUUUCACAGAGGGAUAGCCCAGAGAAAUUUGGAUUAAUACCUCAUAGUAUAAUGAUUUGGCAUCAAGACAUUAUUAAAGUCACAACGGUGAAAGAUGAGCAUGCGUCCCAUUAGCUAGUUGGUAUGGUAACGGCAUACCAAGGCGACGAUGGGUAGGGGUCCUGAGAGGGAGAUCCCCCACACUGGUACUGAGACACGGACCAGACUCCUACGGGAGGCAGCAGUGAGGAAUAUUGGACAAUGGGCGCAAGCCUGAUCCAGCCAUGCCGCGUGCAGGAUGACGGUCCUAUGGAUUGUAAACUGCUUUUGCACAGGAAGAAACAACGCUACGCGUAGCGUCUUGACGGUACUGUGAGAAUAAGGAUCGGCUAACUCCGUG
rnacentral:rRNA from 1 species